rnacentral:rRNA from 1 species
GAUGAACGCUGGCGGCAGGCCUAACACAUGCAAGUCGAACGGUAACAGGAAACAGCUUGCUGUUUCGAUGACGAGUGGCGGACGGGUGAGUAAUGUCUGGGAAACUGCCUGAUGGAGGGGGAUAACUACUGGAAACGGUAGCUAAUACCGCAUAACGUCGCAAGACCAAAGAGGGGGACCUUAGGGCCUCUUGCCAUCGGAUGUGCCCAGAUGGGAUUAGCUAGUAGGUGGGGUAACGGCUCACCUAGGCGACGAUUCCUAGCUUGUCGGAGAGGGUGACCAGCCACACUGGAACUGAGACACGGCCCAGACUCCUACGGGAGUCAGCAGUGGGGAAUAUUGCACAAUGGGCGCAAGCCUGAUGCAGCCAUGCGGCGUGUAUGAAGAAGGCCUUCGGGUUGUAAAGUACUUUCAGCGGGGAGGAAGGGAGUAAAGUUAAUACCUUUGCUCAUUGACGUUACCCGCAGAAGAAGCACCGGCUAACUCCGUGCCAGCAGCCGCCGUAA